UAGGGAAUCUUCCGCAAUGGGCGAAAGCCUGACGGAGCAACGCCGCGUGAGUGAUGAAGGUCUUCGGAUCGUAAAACUCUGUUAUUAGGGAAGAACAAAUGUGUAAGUAACUAUGCACGUCUUGACGGUACCUAAUCAGAAAGCCACGGCUAACUACGUGCCAGCAGCCGCGGUAAUACGUAGGUGGCAAGCGUUAUCCGGAAUUAUUGGGCGUAAAGCGCGCGUAGGCGGUUUUUUAAGUCUGAUGUGAAAGCCCACGGCUCAACCGUUGAGGGUCAUUGGAAACUGGAAAACUUGAGUGCCGAAGAGGAAAUUGGAAUUCCAUGUGUAGCGGUGAAAUGCGCAGAGAUAUGGAGGAACACCAGUGGCGAAGGCGACUUUCUGGUCUGUAACUGACGCUGAUGUGCGAAAGCGUGGGGAUCAAACAGG
rnacentral:rRNA from 1 species